GUCGGCUCAGGGCUGGGAGCCGCCUGGUCUCCUACUGGGGGGGACAGGCAGCUCGGGGUUGCGGCCAUGCACGCACAUGCCACACGCCCAUGCGCACACACACAUGCACACGCACACUCACGCACACACACGCACAUACACACACACACCCAGGCACGCGCACACACCACACACCCACGCGCACACACACCACACGCCCAUGCACACUCACACUCACGCGCACACGCACUGCACACCCACGCGCACACGCGCACACGCGCACACACGCACACCAUGUGCACACACCACACACCCACGCGCACACACACCACACACCACACGCACAUGCGCACACACACCCACAUGCACACACUGCACACCUACGCACACACACCGCACACCCACGCGCACACACUACACACACACGCACACGCACACACGCACACCCAUGUGCACACGCACACCAUGUGCACACACGCGCACACACCACACACCACACGCACCCACACACGCACACCAUGUGCACACACGCACACCCACCACACACACCGCGCACACAUGCGCACCCACACCCCCCACACCCACCCACCACACACCCAUGUGCACACACGCGCACACCCACGCGCGCACACACACCCAUGUGCACCAAUGCGCACACACCGCACACCACACGCACACACACGCACACCAUGUGCACACACGCACACCCACGCGCACACACCACACACCCAUGCACACGCACACACGCACACCCAUGAGCACACGCACACCAUGUGCACACACGCGCACACACACCACACACCCAUGCACCCCCCCACCCACGCGCACACACACCGCACACCCAUCCGCACACGCGCACACCCACGUGCACACAUCGCACGCACACCCACGUGCACACACUGCACACCCACGCGCACACACACCACAACCCAUGCACAGGCACACCCACGCGCACACAUGCACACCCACGCGCACACACCCACGUGCACACACACACCCAUGCACACGCACACCCACGCGCACACACACCACACACCCACGCACACCCACGCGCACACACACCACACACCCACGCACACCCACGCGCACACACCCAUGUGCACACACCACACACCCAUGCACACGCACACCCACGUGCACACACCACACACCCACACGCACCCACACACGCACACCUGCAUGGUUUAGUGAUGUUUAAUCAACAUUCAGAGGAUGGUGGGUCGUUGUGGGAGGAAAUUCCAGUGAACCGCACAGCUGGACACCUAUUUCCUGCUCUUCGGAUCCCUCGUAUUAAAUCAUCGUUUAUCGUAGAAUUAAGGAAAACGGGGGUCCCCGUGAUCUUCUUCCGCCCCCUUCCUUUGUGGGGGUUCCGGUCUCAAAGCCUGGGUGCUUCUCACGUCUG
rnacentral:lncRNA from 1 species